UCCAGGUGGCUCAAAUGGUAAAGAAUCUGCCUUCAAUGUAGGAGAUCCAGGUUCAAUCCCUGGGUUUGGAA
rnacentral:tRNA from 1 species